AGCAGACUCAAGUAUAAAAGACCAGCAGCAAAUCUUAGGUCCACAGUCUUGUAGGCUAAGGUACGCUGAGUGUUUCGAGAUGAACAAGAUUAUGGUUGUCGUCGGUGCGGCCUUCGUGCUGCUAGCAGUGAUCACGGUGUUGGUGGAUGGCGCACCUUACCGCAGUGCAUGGGGCAAGGAGCACCCCAUAGCUCCUCUCGUAGCGGACAACGACCUCAGCGAAAGUCACCGCCUCGAUGACGAUUACUACGGUCAUCAACCUUACAACAACCCUCGCCGUUCUCCUUUUGGACUCUUUUCCUUCGCCUGGUGAGGAGUUUUAAGAACUAUUUUCAGAGAUCGACUAUCAAAUUGCGCUUCACUUCCUACAGUCGACGUGUGGUUCCAUGACUACCGUGUUUUUCUGGUUGAUUACUGACUGUAACCAGAGCGAUAUACACCUCUAAUACUGGUUAUACUUAAUCUGUUAUGUUGUAAUUUGUGUCUUUACACACCUGCAAUAAACUUUUACGCUUA